rnacentral:sRNA from 1 species
UUAUUUAAAGAUUAUAUACACUAU